rnacentral:rRNA from 1 species
GACGAACGCUGGCGGCGUGCUUAACACAUGCAAGUCGAACGGAAAGGCCCUGCUUUUGUGGGGUGCUCGAGUGGCGAACGGGUGAGUAACACGUGAGUAACCUGCCCUUGACUUUGGGAUAACUUCAGGAAACUGGGGCUAAUACCGGAUAGGAGCUCCUGCUGCAUGGUGGGGGUUGGAAAGUUUCGGCGGUUGGGGAUGGACUCGCGGCUUAUCAGCUUGUUGGUGGGGUAGUGGCUUACCAAGGCUUUGACGGGUAGCCGGCAUGAGAGGGUGACCGGGCACAUGGGGACUGAGAUACGGCCCAGACUCCUACGGGAGGCAGCAGGGGGGAAUAUUGCACAAUGGGCGGAAGCCUGAUGCAGCAACGCCGCGUGCGGGAUGACGGCCUUCGGGUUGUAAACCGCUUUCGCCUGUGACGAAGCGGGAGUGACGGUAAUGGGUAAAGAAGCACCGGCUAACUACGUG